rnacentral:misc_RNA from 1 species
AACGCAUAUUGCGCUCUCUGGUAUUCCGGAGAGCAUGCUUGUUUGAGUAUCAGUAAGCCCUCUCAAAGACUAGUUUUUUUUUGUUAAAAAAAGAUUCUGGUCUUUGGAUUUGAGCUAUCCCAACAUAUCAAAUUGGCGGGUUGCUUAAAAUGCAGGUGCAGCUGGAUUUUCAUCUGAGCUAAAGGCAUAUUUAUUUAGUCCCGUUAAAAGGAUUAUCUUUUUUUGCUUCAGCUAAUUUUAAAGGAUGAAGAUUCCUACAUGCUGACUGAUGCAGGAAUUUGACAGGAUUUAUUCUGUUACUAUCCCGAUCUCAAAUCAAGUAAGACUACCCGCUGAACUUAA